UUGGAGGGCAAGUCUGGUGCCAGCAGCCGCGGUAAUUCCGGCUCCAAUAGCGUAUAUUAAAGUUGUUGCAGUUAAAAAGCUCGUAGUUGAAUUUCGGGAUUAGCAGGUCGGUCGUGCCACUGGUACGUACUGGUUUUGCUGAUUCCUCCCUCUUGACGAGCCGUAAUGCCAUUAAUUUGGUGUUGCGGGGAAUCAGGACUGUUACUUUGAAAAAAUUAGAGUGUUUAAAGCAGGCAUGCGCUUGAAUACAUUAGCAUGGAAUAAUGAAAUAGGACGUUCGAUCCUAUUUUGUUGGUUUCUAGGAUUGACGUAAUGAUUAAUAGGGAUAGUUGGGGGCAUUAGUAUUCAAUUGUCAGAGGUGAAAUUCUUGGAUUUAUUGAAGACUAACUACUGCGAAAGCAUUUGCCAAGGAUGUUUUCAUUAGUCAAGAACGAAAGUUAGGGGAUCGAAGACGAUCAGAUACCGUCGUAGUCUUAACCAUAAACUAUGCCGACUAGGGAUCGGAUGAUGUUAAUUUUUUAAUGACUCAUUCGGCGCCUUACGGGAAAC
rnacentral:rRNA from 1 species